rnacentral:rRNA from 1 species
UCCUACGGGACGCAGCAGUGGGGAAUAUUGCCCAAUGGGGGAAACCCUGAUGCAGCGACGCCGCGUGAGUGAAGAAGUAUCUCGGUACGUAAAGCUCUAUCAGCAGGGAAGAAAAGAAGUCUUUGGCUUUGGACGGUACCUGACUAAGAAGCCCCGGCUAACUACGUGCCAGCAGCCGCGGUAAUACGUAGGGGGCAAGCGUUAUCCGGAUUUACUGGGUGUAAAGGGAGCGUAGACGGCAGCGCAAGUCUGGAGUGAAAUGCCGGGGCUCAACCCCGGAACUGCUUUGGAAACUGUUCAGCUAG